GGGCCUGCGGCCACGUCCCUCCGCAGCCGCCCCAGCAGCCGUUCCCGCUCCCUCGUCCCCCUCUCCCUGCCCACCCGGCUUCGCCUGCCAAGUCCGAGUUGGCACAGCUCCCCUGGCUGCGCCGAACAAAGCCGUCACCCAUCCCCGAGCCGGCGCUGACAGUAAGCAAAGUGACAGGCGCAUCUUCCGCAUGUUAAUCCAAACGGCGAGAAGGCGAACGAGCAGCGGAGGCCCCCCCUUGCCAUGCACACACCCCCCGCCACCGACCCACGCACCCCACCCUUGGCACCCGACGGCCCCGAUGGCCUCGUGCCGGGAUGGCGAGGCCCCUGCCGGCGGGAGCACCGAAGCCUCCUCGUCGGCGAGGUUUAAAUUGAGCCGAAGCCCUGCUCGGCGGGCAAACGAGGCCACUCGGCAUCUGCUGUACCUGUUCCCGCUGCCUUCAUCUCGCCUUGGAACCGUGACAAGAGCGCACUCGCCUCUGGUGGGCUCUCAAAGCCGCGGGUCUGUAACCCUUUGCAGGAAGUUGGCACCGAUCCCAGCCUUUUUUCCCUUUUUUUUAGCCUUUUUUCUAUUUUUUCCUGCCUUUUUUUUCUGUUUUUUUUUUUUCCCCCUAAACAUAUAUUUUUGCCUGGCAGCCCAAACCCAACGUGAAAGGAAAGGGGGGGAAGAGAAAUCAAAUGGGAAGAGAAUAGCUCCAAGUCGGCAGGACAAUGCACGGGAAACGGGGAGAUUAGAGUAGCUCUCGAAAUCCAUCACGCCCGCCCCGUUUCUGAACCGUUCGCCCCCGCGCCUCGUCUUUUUUAAUUCUCCCAGCUCCUGAAUUAUUCCAGUCCACGAGCGGGAGGAGAGCGCACAGUCCAGAGUCCCUCAGAGCUGCCAAGAGCAUUGCAACAGGAAAGAAAGGAAGCGAGAGAGGGAGAGCCAGGCAGAGCCCUCACAAUCGAGCAGCGAGAAGAGCAAGGAGAAAUUAACAUCCAAUUAGUGCCGUGUUUAACGAGGGAGACAGAGGCGGCUGUUGUUUUAUUGCCCUGUUCUUUUCAGGCGCAUCUGACAGGCAGCAGGGAAGGCACCCCUGCUCCGAGUGACGUCAUCAUAUUUUAUUUUUUAAUUAUUUCCCCCCCCCCCCUUCCUCCCCCCCAACGUCUUUCCUCCUUUAAGUUUCGCACAGACGGAUCUCGGCAACUCGGCCAGGGAAAUUUGGGACUUUCUCGCAUUCAAGCCACCGGCUCCCCCCUCCACCUCCAGCCUCUCCCCCCUCCGUCCACCGACACCAACCCCGGAAAAAUAACCGCGCCAACCCACCCCAAAGUCUUUGUUCUUCCAAAAAAAAAAAAAAGAA